GGGGUUCGCACCAGCAGCACAACAAUGGUUUGUCGGGGAUCAGGAGUCCGCAAGCCGUUUUGUGGUGCCCACGCGAGCGGC
rnacentral:pre_miRNA from 1 species